GACGAACGCUGGCGGCGUGCUUAACACAUGCAAGUCGAACGGAAAGGCCCUGCUUUUGUGGGGUGCUCGAGUGGCGAACGGGUGAGUAACACGUGAGUAACCUGCCCUUGACUUUGGGAUAACUUCAGGAAACUGGGGCUAAUACCGGAUAGGAGCUCCUGCUGCAUGGUGGGGGUUGGAAAGUUUCGGCGGUUGGGGAUGGACUCGCGGCUUAUCAGCUUGUUGGUGGGGUAGUGGCUUACCAAGGCUUUGACGGGUAGCCGGCCUGAGAGGGUGACCGGCCACAUUGGGACUGAGAUACGGCCCAGACUCCUACGGGAGGCAGCAGUGGGGAAUAUUGCACAAUGGGCGGAAGCCUGAUGCAGCAACGCCGCGUGCGGGAUGACGGCCUUCGGGUUGUAAACCGCUUUCGCCUGUGACGAAGCGUGAGUGACGGUAAUGGGUAAAGAAGCACCGGCUAACUACGUGCCAGCAGCCGCGGUGAUACGUAGGGUGCGAGCGUUGUCCGGAUUUAUUGGGCGUAAAGGGCUCGUAGGUGGUUGAUCGCGUCGGAAGUGUAAUCUUGGGGCUUAACCCUGAGCGUGCUUUCGAUACGGGUUGACUUGAGGAAGGUAGGGGAGAAUGGAAUUCCUGGUGGAGCGGUGGAAUGCGCAGAUAUCAGGAGGAACACCAGUGGCGAAGGCGGUUCUCUGGGCCUUUCCUGACGCUGAGGAGCGAAAGCGUGGGGAGCGAACAGGCUUAGAUACCCUGGUAGUCCACGCUGUAAACGGUGGGUACUAGGUGUGGGGUCCAUUCCACGGGUUCCGUGCCGUAGCUAACGCUUUAAGUACCCCGCCUGGGGAGUACGGCCGCAAGGCUAAAACUCAAAGGAAUUGACGGGGCCCCGCACAAGCGGCGGAGCAUGCGGAUUAAUUCGAUGCAACGCGUAGAACCUUACCUGGGUUUGACAUGGAUCGGGAGUGCUCAGAGAUGGGUGUGCCUCUUUUGGGGUCGGUUCACAGGUGGUGCAUGGCUGUCGUCAGCUCGUGUCGUGAGAUGUUGGGUUAAGUCCCGCAACGAGCGCAACCCUUGUUCACUGUUGCCAGCACGUUAUGGUGGGGACUCAGUGGAGACCGCCGGGGUCAACUCGGAGGAAGGUGGGGAUGACGUCAAGUCAUCAUGCCCCUUAUGUCCAGGGCUUCACGCAUGCUACAAUGGCUGGUACAGAGAGUGGCGAGCCUGUGAGGGUGAGCGAAUCUCGGAAAGCCGGUCUCAGUUCGGAUUGGGGUCUGCAACCCGACCUCAUGAAGUCGGAGUCGCUAGUAAUCGCAGAUCAGCAACGCUGCGGUGAAUACGUUUCCCGGGGCU
rnacentral:rRNA from 1 species